UACGGGGGGGGCAAGCGUUGUUCGGAAUUACUGGGCGUAAAGGGCUCGUAGGCGGCCAACUAAGUCAUACGUGAAAUCCCUCAGCUUAACUGGGGAACUGCGUGUGAUACUGGAUGGCUUGGAUUUGGGAGAGGGAUGCGGAAUUCCAGGUGUAGCGGUGAAAUGCGUAGAUAUCUGGAGGAACACCGGUGGCGAAGGCGACAUCCUGGACCGGUAUUGACGCUGAGGCGCGAAAGCCAGGGGAGCAAACGGG
rnacentral:rRNA from 1 species